GGCCUGCUGGCGCAAUGGUAGCGCGUGGCCCUCCUACGGUUGCUUACAGCAGCUGCUAGGCCAAGGUUGCAGGUUCGAGUCCUGCGUAGGUCG